rnacentral:rRNA from 1 species
GGAACGAGUUAUCUGAACCUUCGGGGGACGAUAACGGCGUCGAGCGGCGGACGGGUGAGUAAUGCCUGGGAAAUUGCCCUGAUGUGGGGGAUAACCAUUGGAAACGAUGGCUAAUACCGCAUAAUAGCUUCGGCUCAAAGAGGGGGACCUUCGGGCCUCUCGCGUCAGGAUAUGCCCAGGUGGGAUUAGCUAGUUGGUGAGGUAAGGGCUCACCAAGGCGACGAUCCCUAGCUGGUCUGAGAGGAUGAUCAGCCACACUGGAACUGAGACACGGUCCAGACUCCUACGGGAGGCAGCAGUGGGGAAUAUUGCACAAUGGGCGCAAGCCUGAUGCAGCCAUGCCGCGUGUAUGAAGAAGGCCUUCGGGUUGUAAAGUACUUUCAGCAGUGAGGAAGGUGGUGUACUUAAUACGUGCAUCAUUUGACGUUAGCUGCAGAAGAAGCACCGGCUAACUCCGUGCCAGCAGCCGCGGUAAUACGGAGGGUGCGAGCGUUAAUCGGAAUUACUGGGCGUAAAGCGCAUGCAGGUGGUUUGUUAAGUCAGAUGUGAAAGCCCGGGGCUCAACCUCGGAAUUGCAUUUGAAACUGGCAGACUAGAGUACUGUAGAGGGGGGGUAGAAUUUCCAGGUGUAGCGGUGAAAUGCGUAGAGAUCUGAAGGAAUACCGGUGGCGAAGGCGGCCCCCUGGACAGAUACUGACACUCAGAUGCGAAAGCGUGGGGAGCAAACAGGAUUAGAUACCCUGGUAGUCCACGCCGUAAACGAUGUCUACUUGGGAGGUUGUGGCCUUGAGCCGUGGCUUUCGGAGCUAACGCGUUAAGUAGACCGCCUGGGGAGUACGGUCGCAAGAUUAAAACUCAAAUGAAUUGACGGGGGCCCGCACAAGCGGUGGAGCAUGUGGUUUAAUUCGAUGCAACGCGAAGAACCUUACCUACUCUUGACAUCCAUAGAACUUUCCAGAGAUGGAUUGGUGCCUUCGGGAACUAUGAGACAGGUGCUGCAUGGCUGUCGUCAGCUCGUGUUGUGAAAUGUUGGGUUAAGUCCCGCAACGAGCGCAACCCUUAUCCUUGUUUG